rnacentral:rRNA from 1 species
UCCACGAAACCCUAAGGCGCAAUGAAAGUGAAGGUCAGGCACAGCACUGACUGAGGCAGGAUCCGUCCGGGUGAGCGAAGCUCUUCUUCCUUUCGCGGGUUCGUCCCGCGGGGGAGCUCGGCGGCGCACUGCCAGCCCAUCUCGGCCGCUUCCUGUCGGCGAGGUGGAGCUAGAGCGCACACGUUGGGACCCGAAAGAUGGUGAACUAUGCUCGGGCAGGACGAAGCCAGAGGAAACUCUGGUGGAGGUCCGUAGCGAUUCUGACGUGCAAAUCGAUCGUCGGACCCGAGUAUAGGGGCGAAAGACUAAUCGAACCGUCUAGUAGCAG